GGGGGCGUGGCGAAAUGGUAGACGCAGCGGACUUAAAAUCCGCCGAUUGAAUAAAUCAUGGGGGUUCGAUUCCCCCCGCCCCCA
rnacentral:tRNA from 1 species